rnacentral:rRNA from 1 species
CACGUAGGAGGCGAGCGUUGUCCGGAAUCAUUGGGCGUAAAGCGCGCGCAGGCGGCUUGGCAAGUCGGGUGUGAAAUCCCGGGGCUCAACCCCGUGACUGCAUUCGAUACUGUCAGGCUAGAGUUAGGUAGGGGAGAUCGGAAUUCCUGGUGUAGCGGUGAAAUGCGCAGAUAUCAGGAGGAACACCGGUGGCGAAGGCGGAUCUCUGGGCCUUACCUGACGCUCAGGCGCGAAAGCUAGGGGAGCGAACAGG